rnacentral:rRNA from 1 species
AGCGAACGCUGGCGGCAGGCUUAACACAUGCAAGUCGAACGGGCACUUCGGUGCUAGUGGCAGACGGGUGAGUAACACGUGGGAACGUACCUUUCGGUUCGGAAUAAUACAGGGAAACUUGUACUAAUACCGGAUACGCCCUUCGGGGGAAAGAUUUAUCGCCGAUAGAUCGGCCCGCGUCUGAUUAGCUAGUUGGUGAGGUAAUGGCUCACCAAGGCGACGAUCAGUAGCUGGUCUGAGAGGAUGAUCAGCCACACUGGGACUGAGACACGGCCCAGACUCCUACGGGAGGCAGCAGUGGGGAAUUUUGCGCAAGGGGCGAAAGCCUGACGCAGCAACGCCGCGUGAGGGAUGAAGGCCUUCGGGUUGUAAACCUCCUUUCUCAGGGACGAUAGUGACGGUACCUGAGGAAUAAGCCCCGGCUAACUCCGUGCCAGCCGCCGCAGUAACAC